GACGAACGCUGGCGGCAGGCCUAACACAUGCAAGUCGAACGAGUGGCGGACGGGCGAGUAAUUUCUUGGAACCUGCCUGAUGGAGGGGGAUAACUACUGGAAACGGUAGCUAAUACCGCAUACCAUCGGAUGUGCCCAGAUGGGAUUAGCUAGUAGGUGGGGUAAAGGCUCACCUAGGCGACGAUCCCUAGCUGGUCUGAGAGGAUGACCGGCCACACUGGAACUGAGACACGGUCCAGACUCCUACGGGAGGCAGCAGUGGGGAAUAUUGCACAAUGGGCGCAAGCCUGAUGCAGCAAUGCCGCGUGUAUGAAGAAGGCCUUCGGGUUGUAAAGUACUUUCAGCGGGGAGGCGUUACCCGCCGAAGAAGCACCGGCUAACUCCGUGCCAGCAGCCGCGGUAAUAC
rnacentral:rRNA from 1 species